rnacentral:lncRNA from 1 species
AUUUUCUUGUGUGUAUGAAGGUGGCAGGAGGCCUGUCAGAACAAACCUACAUCUAUGCUUUUAGGGCCACCUGCUGAGACAGAGAAAGCCAGCAUUUCUUUCUCAAAUGAAAGCCUGAAUUCCCCAGAACAGCCUCUGCUGCAUCAACACGAGCAACAUUUGGAGGAAGCAAACUGUGAUGCUCAGCAAAACCCACCCGAUUCCCCAGGAUGUAAGGACUUCAUUCUUAACAUUGAGCUGGAAAAAGCUGAAAAUGGAAGCCUGGGAUUUGCCCUGGUGGGUGGAAGGAACGGCAGGGCUAUCCUAAUAAAAGCCAUCAGCCCCGACAGCAUCGCAGAUCUAGAUGGGAGGCUCCAAGUUGGGGACAUUCUACUUAAGGUGAAUGAGACUUUUGUGUCUGGUCUCCCACGCCAAACGGUCAUAGAUUUGCUGCGCAAGGCCCGAGGCACCGUUCAACUCACCGUCUGCCGAAGCCUGGCUUUGCAUUGGGCUUAUUCAGGCAACCAGAGCAACAGCAUCCCUUCCCCCACAGAUACAGAGCUGGG